rnacentral:lncRNA from 1 species
UUCUUUUAUAAUUAAAAAAAGAUAAAAAAAGUGUACUCAACCAUGUACAUGAACUCAUAAUAAAAUCCAUGUAGCAACAUAUCAAAGUAAACACAAAACAAAUGUAAAGCUAAUAUUUUAGCUCUAUAUGAUAACUGCAUGUAAAAGCAUUAUAUGAUGAAAGAGAGAUCAAUGCAACAAAACUUCUAAGUUACAUAAUAUAAACUACCAAUGGUGCCAUGACUAACUUCCCCUGUACCUCGAACCAGACAUUGUGCCGAUAACUGGAUCGAUUGAAAAGCAACAAAUCAAUGUGUUAACUUUUCUCGAGUGAUAUUUGAAUCACUGUAGCACUACUCAAAGCAUAUUAAUGUCACAACUCACAAGUAUGGUGUGAUUCCAAGAUGGACGUAGAAACCAUCAAGGUUGCCAAGAUAAAACAUUAUGAGUAGCAGUUUAUCACUAAGACAAGCAUUGCUGAUAGUAGUAACUCUACUUAAACUGCAAACAUCAUAUAUUCGAUAAGAUCCAUUACAAAGAAUCAAAGAAAACAGCAAUAACUCAAACUGGCAAGAUAAAAUAGUAAAUCAAGGUAUAUCUGCAUUUGAAAGGUUGUGCACUCUAUGCAGUUGAGCGAAACUUCUUAAAAACAAUUAAGAAGAUAGCAGUAAUAUAAGUAACUCAUGAAAAUGAAAACACAGAAUGUUGUUAAAGGCUUGUAAAUAAGAUUCUGGAUACCAGAACUUAAGAGACAUUCACAUAAUGUAUGAAGAACCCGCAAAUCUGUAGAAAAUCUAGUACCAAAAUACACUGUUAAAGAUAUAUACAUUUCACUUGGAGGUGUGGAUCUGUAAUAGAAUGUUGAAAUAUACUUUCAUAAGAACAACUAAAAUUGAAUUUAGUUGUCAAAGCAUUAUCUAAAAUGUUUUUGAUAAUUUAAUAGUACAAGUGGGAUGAAUUGUUUUAGCUUCACUGAUUCACAUGUUAAGACCUAAAUGGCCAGACAAAAACUUAAAAUAGCACAUCUUGUAACUUUCUGAAGAAAAUUUUAAUAAUCAGAUUUACAUUCAAUUUUUUUGAAUCUUUAAAAACUUCAUGCCAGGUUUUUUUAAUUUCCAGAUAUUGGCAGCAACCUUGUUUUUCCAGAAUAUUUAAGUAGCACAGAACUGCCAUAUUGAACAAAAUACAUUUGAGUAGUACUGCCAGUUAAUGUGCUCUGACGCUGCUGAAGUGUACUGCCAGUUUUCAAUCCAUGAGCAUCUAAGACCUAGCAAAUAAUUUCCUUCAUCACUGCAGGGAAAAGAAAUGACCAUAAAAGGUUAAGAUAGUAAACAAUAUGAACGAAUAACCAGUAAGGCACCUAUUUUAGAACCACGGUGCAACAUCCAGGCUUAUACAUCUGAUGCAUCGCAUUAUUAGCCUAACACUUACCGACACUGAAAGCUCUAAACAGUAAACAAGGUGGGGGGGAAGAACUGAAACCUCUUUUAAUUUUUCAGGGCCCACUUCCAUAAAUUCUUCCAGUACUAUAAUAAUCAAGAUCAAUCAUCACAUACUCUUGUGAUGAAAUAUGCCCAUUUUCCAGCCCCUUGUUUUCCCAUCCAAGUACUUUACCAUCAGCCUGCUGCUCUUCCAACUCGGUGUCCACCUGUAGCAAAAAAAAAAGCCAUCCCAUCAGGCAAAUAUAAGAUUUAACAUUUUCUAGAUAGGCCGAAAGCAUGCAACCUUUAGUAUAUUUCCCUUCAUUUAACAGACAAGGUUUUCACUA